GCCUCUGUAGCACAGUGGUAGUGUAUUCGCCUUUUAAGCGAGCAGUCGUGAGUUCGAAUCUCACCAGAGGCA
rnacentral:tRNA from 1 species